rnacentral:rRNA from 1 species
GACGAACGCUGGCGGCGUGCUUAACACAUGCAAGUCGAACGUGAUUUUUGUGGAAAUUCUUUCGGGAAUGGAAAUGAAAUGAAAGUGGCGAACGGGUGAGUAACACGUGAGCAACCUACCUUACACAGGGGGAUGCCGUUGGAAACGACGAUUAAUACCGCAUGAGACCACAGAAUCGCAUGAUAUAGGGGUCAAAGAUUUAUCGGUGUAAGAAGGGCUCGCGUCUGAUUAGCUAGUUGGAAGGGUAAAGGCCUACCAAGGCGACGAUCAGUAGCCGGUCUGAGAGGAUGAACGGCCACAUUGGAACUGAGACACGGUCCAAACUCCUACGGGAGGCAGCAGUGGGGAAUAUUGCACAAUGGGGGGAACCCUGAUGCAGCGACGCCGCGUGAGCGAAGAAGGUUUUCGAAUCGUAAAGCUCUGUCCUAUGAGAAGAUAAUGACGGUAUCAUAGGAGGAAGCCCCGGCUAAAUACGUG